rnacentral:misc_RNA from 1 species
GCACGGCUUUCUGCCCGAAUUAUUUGGACUGGUUUGGAGAUGAUGAUUCUGACUCACAUUCAAGAAAUGCUGAUCGCUCUGUUGUGUCAAAGUUCUUACAAUCACAUCCUGCUGAUUUUUCUACAGGAAAAUUACAGGAAAUGGUUCGUUUGAUGAGGGAAAAACGCUUUCCUGCUGCUUUCAAGUGUUACUAUAACUUCCAUAAAAUUAAUG